rnacentral:rRNA from 1 species
AACGAACGCUGGCGGCAGGCUUAACACAUGCAAGUCGAACGCCCCGCAAGGGGAGUGGCAGACGGGUGAGUAACGCGUGGGAAUCUACCGUGCCCUGCGGAAUAGCUCCGGGAAACUGGAAUUAAUACCGCAUACGCCCUACGGGGGAAAGAUUUAUCGGGGUAUGAUGAGCCCGCGUUGGAUUAGAUAGUUGGUGGGGUAAAGGCCUACCAAGGCGACGAUCCAUAGCUGGUCUGAGAGGAUGAUCAGCCACAUUGGGACUGAGACACGGCCCAAACUCCUACGGGAGGCAGCAGUGGGGAAUAUUGGACAAUGGGCGCAAGCCUAAUCCAGCCAUGCCGCGUGAGUGAUGAAGGCCUUAGGGUUGUAAAGCUCUUUCACCGAUGAAGAUAAUGACGGUAGUCGGAGAAGAAGCCCCGGCUAACUUCGUGCCAGCCGCCGCGGUAA